AGUUAUGAAACCACCAACUCUUAAAGUACCCCAAUUAAAAUCUAUUCCAACAUAUAUAUAUAACUUACUGUAAUUUAAGUUUCGUAGCAAUGAAACUGGCACCUAGCCUUGUAAUUUUCUUUUUGGGGUUGGUUUAUUGAUGAGUUGGAAAUGAUGUGAUCAGUUUGUCUUCAAACACAAGUGACAAGGUGCUAAUUCGACGAUUCAUCAUAUAGUAGCAACCUUCACAAGGUCCAAUU
rnacentral:misc_RNA from 1 species